UAGAUGUUGGAGAUAUGUUGAUUCUAUGUAUAUGUCUAUAUAUUACACUGUGAUAAGAUCCAUUAGAUAUUCAAGAUUUGUUGAUCCUAUGUAAAUGUCUAUAUAUUACACUGGGACUUAGUCCAUUAGAUGUUUGAGAUUUGUUGAUCCUAUGACCUAUAUAUUACACAGGGACUAGAUCCAUUAGAUGUUGGAGAUAUGUUGAUUCUAUGUAUAUGUCUAUAUAUUACACUGUGAUAAGAUCCAUUAGAUAUUCAAGAUUUGUUGAUCCUAUGUAAAUGUCUAUAUAUUACACUGGGACUUAGUCCAUUAGAUGUUUGAGAUUUGUUGAUCCUAUGACCUAUAUAUUACACUGUGACUAGGUCCAUUAGAUGUUUGAGAUAUGUUGAGUCUAUGUAUAUGUCUAUAUAUUACACUGGGACGUGGUCCAUUAGAUGUUGGAGAUUUGUUGAUCCUAUGACCUAUAUAUUACACUGUGACUAGGUCCAUUAGAUGUUGGAGAUUUGUUGAUCCUAUGACCUAUAUAUUACACUGUGACUAGGUCCAUUAGAUGAUUGAGAUUUGUUGAUCCUAUGUAUAUGUCUAUAUAUUACACUGUGAGUAGGUCCAUUAGAUGUUGGAGAUUUGUUGAUCCUAUGACCUAUAUAUUACACUGGGACUUAGUCCAUUAGAUGUUGGAGAUUUGUUGAUCCUAUGACCUAUAUAUUACACUGUGACUAGGUCCAUUAGAUGUUGGAGAUUUGCUGAUCCUAUGACCUAUAUAUUACACUGUGACUUAGUCCAUUAGAUGUUGGAGAUUUGUUGAUCCUAUGUAUAUGUCUAUAUAUUACACUGGGACUUAGUCCAUUAGAUGUUGGAGAUUUGUUGAUCCUAUGACCUAUAUAUUACACUGUGACUAGGUCCAUUAGAUGUUGGAGAUUUGUUGAUCCUAUGACCUAUAUAUUACACUGUGACUAGGUCCAUUAGAUGUUGGAGAUUUGUUGAUCCUAUGUAUAUGUCUAUAUAUUACACUGGGACUUAGUCCAUUAGAUGUUUGAGAUUUGUUGAUCCUAUGACCUAUAUAUUACACUGUGAGUAGGUCCAUUAGAUGUUGGAGAUUUGUUGAUCCUAUGACCUAUAUAUUACACUGUGAGUAGGUCCAUUAGAUGUUGGAGAUUUGUUGAUCCUAUGACCUAUAUAUUACACUGUGACUAGGUCCAUUAGAUGUUGGAGAUUUGUUGAUCCUAUGUAUAUGUCUAUAUAUUACACUGGGACUUGGUCCAUUAGAUGUUGGAGAUUUGUUGAUCCUAUGACCUAUAUAUUACACUGUGACUAGGUCCAUUAGAUGUUGGAGAUUUGUUGAUCCUAUGACCUAUAUUUUACACUGUGACUAGGUCCAUUAGAUGUUGGAGAUUUGUUGAUCCUAUGACCUAUAUAUUACACUGUGACUAGGUCCAUUAGAUGUUGGAGAUUUGUUGAUCCUAUGACCUAUAUAUUACACUGUGACUAGGUCCAUUAGAUGUUGGAGAUAUGUUGAUACUAUGUAUAUGUCUAUAUAUUACAUUGUGACUUGGUCCAUUAGAUGUUUGAGAUUUGUUGAUCCUAUGACCUAUAUAUUACACUGUGACUAGGUCCAUUAGAUGUUGGAGAUAUGUUGAUACUAUGUAUAUGUCUAUAUAUUACAUUGUGACUUGGUCCAUUAGAUGUUUGAGAUUUGUUGAUCCUAUGACCGACAUUAGAUGUUGGAGAUUUGUUGAUCCUAUGACCUAUAUAUUAUACUGUGACUAGGUCCAUUAGAUGUUUGAGAUAUGUUGAUCCUAUGUAUAUGACCUAUAUAUUACACUGUGACUAGGUCCAUUAGAUGUUUGAGAUAUGUUGAGUCUAUGUAUAUGUCUAUAUAUUACACUGGGACUUGGUCCAUUAGAUGUUGGAGAUUUGUUGAUCCUAUGACCUAUAUAUUACACUGUGACUAGGCCCAUUAGAUGUUGGAAAUUUGUUGAUCCUAUGACCUAUAUAUUACACUGUGACUAGGUCCAUUAGAUGUUUGAGAUAUGUUGAUCCUAUGUAUAUGACCUAUAUAUUACACUGUGACUAGGUCCAUUAGAUGUUUGAGAUAUGUUGAGUCUAUGUAUAUGUCUAUAUAUUACACUGGGACGUGGUCCAUUAGAUGUUGGAGAUUUGUUGAGUCUAUGUAUAUGUCUAUAUAUUACACUGGGACUUGGUGCAUUAGAUGUUGAAGAUUUGUUGAUUCUAUGUAUAUGUCUAUAUAUUACACUGUGACUUGGUCCAUUAGAUGUUGGAGAUUUGUUGAUCCUAUGACCUAUAUAUUACACUGUGACUAGGUCCAUUAGAUGUUGGAGAUUUGUUGAUUCUAUGACCUAUAUAUUACAGUGUGACUAGGUCCAUUAGAUGUUGGGGAUUUGUUGAUCCUAUGACCUAUAUAUUACACUGUGACUAGGCCCAUUAGAUGUUGGAGAUUUGUUGAGUCUAUGUAUAUGUCUAUAUAUUACACUGGGACUUGGUGAAUUAGAUGUUGGAGAUUUGUUGAGUCUAUGUAUAUGUCUAUAUAUUACGCUGGGACUUGGUCCAUUAGAUGUUGGAGAUUUGUUGAUCCUAUGACCUAUAUAUUACACUGUGACUAGGUCCAUUAGAUGUUUGAGAUAUGUUGAGUCUAUGUAUAUGUCUAUAUAUUACACUGUGACUAUAGGUCCAUUAGAUGUUGGAGAUUUGUUGAUCUUAUGACCUAUAUAUUACACUUGGAAUAGGUCCAAUAGAUGUUGGAGAUUUGUUGAUCCUAUGACCUAUAUAUUACACUGUGACUAGGUCCAUUAGAUGUUGGAGAUUUGUUGAUUCUAUGACCUAUAUAUUACACUGUGACUAGGUCCAUUAGAUGUAAGAGAUUUGUUGAUUCGAUGACCUAUAUAUUACAUUGUGAAUAGGCCCAUUAGAUGUAAGAGAUUUGUUGAUUCGAUGACCUAUAUAUUACAUUGUGACUAGGUCCAUUAGAUGUAAGAGAUUUGUUGAUUGGAUGACCUAUAUAUUACAUUGUGACUAGGUCCAUUAGAUGUAAGAGAUUUGUUGAUUCGAUGACCUAUAUAUUACACUGUGACUAGGCCCAUUAGAUGUUACGAUUGUCUUAUCCUAUGUAUGUAUGCAAGGUUUGUAUACAUAUUACUGUUAUUGUGUUAUAUAUUUCAUUUCAUCGUAUACAGAAUUGUUUAAUCCUUUACAUCAGUAUGGUUAAAGAUAUACUUGUUAGAAAUUCAGUCUGUAGGCUACUCCAUCCCACAGAAAAUUGUAAUUUAUAGUUUUAGAUUAUUGAAAAAAUAAUAAAAUAAAUUAAGAAAUGC